rnacentral:rRNA from 1 species
UGGGGAAUCUUGGACAAUGGGGGCAACCCUGAUCCAGCCAUGCCGCGUGUGUGAAGAAGGCCUUCGGGUUGUAAAGCACUUUCAGCAGGGAGGAAGGCUUUGGGCUAAUACCCUGGAGUACUUGACGUUACCUGCAGAAGAAGCACCGGCUAAUUUCGUGCCAGCAGCCGCGGUAAUACGAAAGGUGCAAGCGUUAAUCGGAAUUACUGGGCGUAAAGCGCGCGUAGGCGGUGUGUUAAGUCGGAUGUGAAAGCCCAGGGCUCAACCUUGGAAUUGCAUCCGAUACUGGCACGCUAGAGUGCAGUAGAGGGAGGUGGAAUUUCCGGUGUAGCGGUGAAAUGCGUAGAGAUCGGAAGGAACACCAGUGGCGAAGGCGGCCUCCUGGACUGACACUGACGCUGAGGUGCGAAAGCGUGGGGAGCAAACAGG